AUGUACGUCAAGCUCGGCGAGGUGCCGGUGGUGGUGGCCUCUUCUGCCGAGGCCGCGCGCGAGGUCAUGAAGACACAGGACGUCACGUUCGCGACGCGGCCGUGGAGCCCCACCACCAAGAUCAUCAUGUCCGAUGGGGUCGGGGUGGCGUUCGCACCCUACGGCGCUCACUGGCGCCAGCUCCGCAAGAUCUGCAUCAUGGAGCUGCUCAGCGCCCGCCGGGUGCAGUCGUUCCGCAACGUCUGGGAGGAGGAGGUGACGCACCUCGUCGCCGCCAUUUCAGCUAGUACCGGCGACCCCGUCAACGUCAGCGAGCGGCUCACCGUGCUCAUCGCAGACAUGACCCUGCGCGCCAUGAUCGGGGACAGGUUCAGCAAGCGGGAGGAGUUCUUGGAGGUGCUCCAACAGGGGGUCAAGAUCCUUUCGGGGUUUAACCUCGGCGACCUCUUCCCCUCCUCCUGGCUCAUCGGCUUCGUUAGCGGCUCCGCCCGACAGGCGUGGGAGAAUCACACCAAGGCCUUCGAGCUCAUCGACUGCGCAAUCAAGCAGCACCGGGAGGUGAAGGCCGCUGCCGCCGCGUCCAACGGCGACAGGAAGGAAGGGGAGCAGGAGGACCUAUUGGACGUGCUCCUCAGGAUACAGAAGGAAGGCGGCAACGACGUCCCUUUUACCAUGGGAGCCAUCAAGUGUCUAUUAGUGGACCUGUUUAGUGCGGGGAGCGAGACGUCAGCGACGACUCUCAUCUGGGCCAUGUCGGAGUUGAUGAGGAACCCAACCACCAUGGCAAAAGCGCAAGCCGAAGUACGUAACAACCUACAAGGGAAGCCAGGCGUAACCCAGGAUGACCUGGAUGAUCUCAAGUACAUGAGGCUGGUCAUCAAGGAGACGCUGAGGCUGCAUCCGUCGGUGCCCCUGCUGUUGCCGCGCGAGCCCACCGAGGCAUGCAAGGUCCUCGGCUACGACGUGCCGACGGGCACCACCGUGUUUGUGAACACGUGGGCGAUCUGUCGGGACCCCAAGCACUGGGAUGCCCCGGAAGAGUUCAGGCCAGAGCGGUUCGAGUCCGGCGAAGUGGACUUCAAGGGAACCAACUUUGAGUACACACCGUUCGGGGCAGGCAGGAGGAUAUGUCCGGGGAUGCUGUUUGCGCAGUCUAGCAUGGAGCUCGCCCUCGCCGCCCUCCUCUACCACUUUGACUGGGUGCUUCCUGCCGGAGCGGAGUUGGACAUGGAGGAGGAGAUGGGCAUCUCCGUUGGCCGGAAGAACGACCUGUACCUGCAUGCCAAACUCCUCGUGCCGCUUAAUUAG
rnacentral:rRNA from 1 species